rnacentral:rRNA from 1 species
UACGUAGGGGGGCAAGCGUUGUCCGGAUUUAUUGGGCGUAAAGAGCGUGUAGGCGGCCAGGUAGGUCCGUUGUGAAAACUCGAGGCUCAACCUCGAGACGUCGGCGGAAACCCUCUGGCUAGAGUCCGGAAGAGGAGAGUGGAAUUCCUGGUGUAGCGGUGAAAUGCGCAGAUAUCAGGAAGAACACCCGUGGCGAAGGCGGCUCUCUGG